rnacentral:rRNA from 2 species
UCUCGUUGAUGAUCGGUGCUUGCACCGAGAUUCAACAUGGAACGAGUGGCGGACGGGUGAGUAACACGUGGGUAACCUGCCCUUAAGUGGGGGAUAACAUUUGGAAACAGAUGCUAAUACCGCAUAGAUCCAAGAACCGCAUGGUUCUUGGCUGAAAGAUGGCGUAAGCUAUCGCUUUUGGAUGGACCCGCGGCGUAUUAGCUAGUUGGUGAGGUAAUGGCUCACCAAGGCGAUGAUACGUAGCCGAACUGAGAGGUUGAUCGGCCACAUUGGGACUGAGACACGGCCCAAACUCCUACGGGAGGCAGCAGUAGGGAAUCUUCCACAAUGGACGCAAGUCUGAUGGAGCAACGCCGCGUGAGUGAAGAAGGCUUUCGGGUCGUAAAACUCUGUUGUUGGAGAAGAAUGGUCGGCAGAGUAACUGUUGUCGGCGUGACGGUAUCCAACCAGAAAGCCACGGCUAACUACGUGCCAGCAGCCGCGGUAAUACGUAGGUGGCAAGCGUUAUCCGGAUUUAUUGGGCGUAAAGCGAGCGCAGGCGGUUUUUUAAGUCUGAUGUGAAAGCCCUCGGCUUAACCGAGGAAGCGCAUCGGAAACUGGGAAACUUGAGUGCAGAAGAGGACAGUGGAACUCCAUGUGUAGCGGUGAAAUGCGUAGAUAUAUGGAAGAACACCAGUGGCGAAGGCGGCUGUCUGGUCUGUAACUGACGCUGAGGCUCGAAAGCAUGGGUAGCGAACAGGAUUAGAUACCCUGGUAGUCCAUGCCGUAAACGAUGAAUGCUAGGUGUUGGAGGGUUUCCGCCCUUCAGUGCCGCAGCUAACGCAUUAAGCAUUCCGCCUGGGGAGUACGACCGCAAGGUUGAAACUCAAAGGAAUUGACGGGGGCCCGCACAAGCGGUGGAGCAUGUGGUUUAAUUCGAAGCAACGCGAAGAACCUUACCAGGUCUUGACAUCUUUUGAUCACCUGAGAG